AGCGAACGCUGGCGGCAGGCUUAACACAUGCAAGUCGAGCGGGCACUUCGGUGUCAGCGGCAGACGGGUGAGUAACACGUGGGAACGUACCCUUCGGUUCGGAAUAACGCUGGGAAACUAGCGCUAAUACCGGAUACGCCCUUUUGGGGAAAGGUUUACUGCCGAAGGAUCGGCCCGCGUCUGAUUAGCUAGUUGGUGGGGUAAUGGCCUACCAAGGCGACGAUCAGUAGCUGGUCUGAGAGGAUGAUCAGCCACACUGGGACUGAGACACGGCCCAGACUCCUAGGGGAGGGGGCGGUGGGAAAUAUGGAAAAAGGGGCGCAAGCCUGAUCCAGCCAUGCCGGGUGAGUGAUAAAGGCCUUGGGGUUGUAAAGCUUUUUUGUCCGGGACGAAAAUGACGGUACCGAAAAAAAAAGCCCCGGCUAACUGCGUG
rnacentral:rRNA from 1 species